rnacentral:tRNA from 1 species
GUCAGUUUGGCCGAGAGGUUAAGGCGAUAGACUCGAAUCUAAUUUAGUAGGAACGAGGUCAUCUAUUGGGCUCUGCCCGCGUCGGUUCAAAUCCGGCAGCUGACG